CACAGGCUGCCUCCACCACACAAGAUCUCCAGCGUUUACAACCUGGAGCUAUACCUGCUAUCACGCAGAUAGAUCUAUGAGAUGACUGGUGGAGAUCUGUAAUAGUUUUUGAGCCUCCUUGGAAGCUUGUCAAGCAAUUCUGUCCUAUCUAGAGAGAGACCAGGAUAGCGAGUGAGUGAGCUUCCCUAAGUAUAAUCCACAUCUG